rnacentral:tmRNA from 1 species
GGGACUGCUAAUGGGUUUCGACAAUUAAAACGUUCCUCUAUUUCUUUGUAAUUAAAAUUAUUUUCAAAAAAUAAUUGCAAAUACUAUUUUAUCAUUUAAACGAAAUUUAAGCUUAGCUGUAUAGAGUUAUAAUCACUUAAAUCAUAUAAUUUUUUAAUUAUUAAAAAAUAAAAAUUUGAAACUUGCGUUAAUGUUAAUAUUAUGUUAUAUUAAGGAGUAGAGAAAAACUUUUAAUUGGACGUGGGUUCAACUCCCACCAGUUCCAAGA